AUGUCUAAUGUUUUUUCGCCUGGGGAAUUAAUCGGACUAUUACGAGCGGAACGAGCAGGGCGAGCUUUGGAUGAAUCGAUCUAUUAUCGGGCAAUCUUAUUGGGAAUAACAAGGGCUUCCCUGAAUACCCAAAGUUUCAUAUCUGAAGCAAGUUUUCAAGAAACUGCUCGAGUUUUAGCAAAAGCUGCCCUACGAUGUCGCAUUGAUUGGUUGAAAGGCUUGAAAGAAAACGUAGUUCUGGGGGGGAUUAUACCUGUUGGUACCGGAUUCCAAAAAUUUGUGCAUCGUUCCCCACAAGACAAGAACCUUUAUUUCGAAAUAAAAAAAAAUCUAUUCGCGUCAGAAAUGAGAGAUUUUUUGUUUCUUCAUACAGAAUUAGUUUCUUCAGAUUCUGACGUAACAAACAAUUUUUAUGAGACAUAA
rnacentral:rRNA from 1 species